CUAAAAAAAAAAGAACACUUAUAUUUUUGCAUUUUUAUAAAUAAUAUAAAUAAAAUCACUAGUUCUUUAUAAUUAUAUCUGUAUAUCAUCAAACUUCAUUACGUUACAGUUAACGUUCUUGAUAGAUAUUUAAUUUCCAAAUUUUUUUGGAACUAUUAUGUAUUGGAACUCGAUUUAUCCAACUCUGAUAAAGGUCGAUCAGCAACCUCGAUUUAUUUCAAUAUGGUAUAAAAUAGAUUGUAUCAAGAACUUUCAAAAGUCGAUGCAAUAUUAAUAGCGAUCAAUUAUUUAUAGAUGUAGGUUUUCUGUACGAUUAAAGCGUACCAUCUGGUGAAUUAUCGAGUUUCUGGAAUGCGUAGGAUGACAAACGGGAUUGCUAUAAACGAUUCAUUACAAUGUAUAUUAGGGAUGAACCUAUGAUAAUCUCGAGGAUGGUCUUUGAAUUAGAGAUUCGUGCUUCGUGGAGAAAUAAAAUUAUAAUAAGUAUAAAAAAAGAAUAUUCUGUAACCUGUCUUUUCAAUUUUUAUGAAUUUAUAUUUACAUCAAUGUAUAUUUAUAAUAGAUAUAUACAAAAUAAUUAUAUUAAAAGCUCAGAUAAAGAUAAUCAUCAAUUAUAUUAAUUAUUACAGCAAAAAAGUUAAUUUCUUCGUAUAAGAUCCACAAAUUAACUUUAUACAACAAAUUAUUGGGAUUUUAAUUUUGUGGAAUCAAUUGAUAUCGAAGAAGUUCUAUAAGUAUUUAAGUAUGUAUUUUGUAUGUGAUUCUUAAACAUAGCAAGUUAUCAAUCAACAUUCUUAAGAAAGCCUUCAAAACUUAAGAAUUUAAAUUGGACAACAUUGAUUCAGGACAUUUGUACUUUGGAAAAUUGAACUUCAAAUCUUCAAAAUUAUUUUAAAAUACAAAUUAAAUAAAAUUUGUAAGGGUCAGAAUUUUUGAAAUCUACAAAUAUCUGGCUGUGAUAGUCAAUAUCCAUAUAAUUUAUUAUUUAUUAAUUUUACAUUAAUGUAAAAAGAAGAGGAGAAAAAAGAAGAAAAAGGAAAAAUGGAUUGAAAAUCAAUUAACUCAAAUUUCAAUUUAUUGGUCACAGGAUCUGUUACAGGAGAUGUUACAAAACGAAUAAAUCGAUAAAGCAUGCUUUAAAAUUGUCUGAAAUGAAAGAACAAUGCUCGAAAUUGAUACGAAUCGUCGAUCCAUAGUUUGAUUUAAAAAAUGGGACGAAACAAACUUUACCAACUUUGAAUUUAUAACGCUGAUUGCGAUUCAUAUAGUAUAUGCUCGAUUGUUGAAUAGUACAAUGGGUGUACAAGACAAACCAGUUAUAUACAUGAUUGCUAUCAUCUAAUCUAUUAUUUACACAUUACACGUUCACAAGGCAAACGCGUUUACCGAUUUGGACGAUGUUUUCCGAUUUCCAACAUAAUGUUGCUUACAAUUUAACAUAGUAUGAUCAAUUCGAAGAUUAUUUUGAAAAUAGUGAUAUUUCUUAAUCAAUUGAAUACAAAUUGUCAAGAAAUAAUGCAACACGAUUGUUAUAGAAAUUAAAAUUUAACUUUUUAAUAAUAUGAUUUUUCUAUAUUUUAUUUCAUAAGAUAUUUUAUACAAGAAUUUUUCACAUCAAAAAUAAUCCAGUUUCAAACCAUCCAUUUCUUCACUAUUAAAAAUAAUGUGAUAAACAAAAUAUAUACUAUUUUUCUUAAUUUAUAAUACAAUUAUACAUGUAUAUCUUAAAAAUAAUGAAAAUAAAAGAAUAAAGAAUAAACAAUAAAAAAUAAGAUAAUAAAGAAAAGAAUAAACAAUAAAGAUAAAAAAAACAUUUUAUUAAUAUUCAAUAUGAUUAUUAUUAAAAAAUAUAUUGGAAAUUUCAUAUCUAUGCAACAUUUGUACUUACGGAAUCUUGAAAAUAAAUUCUUAACCCAAAUAGUCGACCUCGAAUACUUGAGAAAUUUUGAGAAGCUGACGUCAAUACCAAUACUAUCGUUAUAGCUAUCAUUUUGUGCUAAGCUACAUUAAUUUUAUUUAACGAAAUUAAUUUACAUUACAUGAAACAUGAUCACUACAUAAAAUAAGCGAAAAAGAAGAAUUAUUAUCUUUCGUUUCAUCACAUAUAUACUUAAGGAUAUAUAAUAAGUAUAUAAGAUACUCUUAAAUAUAAUAUAAUAUAAUGUACAAAUACGAAUACACAGUUGCAUAUAUAACGAA